GAUGAACGCUGGCGGCGCGCCUAACACAUGCAAGUCGAACGAUUAAAGCACCUGCGGGUGUGUAUAAAGUGGCGAACGGCUGAGUAACACGUGGGCAACCUGCCCCUUUAAUUGGGAUAGCCACGGGAAACCGUGGAUAAUACCAAAUACUUCGAAACUUCAGCAUGAAAGACUCGAGAAAGCACCGGCGGCGAGGGAUGGGCCCGCGGCUUGUUGGCUUGUUGGUGGGGUAACGGCCUACCAAGGCAAUGAUGGGUAGCUGGGUUGAGAGACCGACCAGCCAGAUUGGGACUGCGACACGCACCAGAAUCCUACGGGAGGCAGCAGUGGGGAAUCUUGCACAAUGGGCGAAAGCCUGAUGCAGCGACGCCGCGUGCGGGAUGAAGGCCUUCGGGUUGUAAACCGCUUUCAGCAGGGACGAGGCGAAAGUGACGGUACCUGCAGAAGAAGCCCCGGCUAACUACGUG
rnacentral:rRNA from 1 species